GUCACGCCCGAAGUCGUUACCCUAACCGCAAGGAGGGGGAUGCCGAAGGCAGGGCUAGUGACUGGGGUGAAGUCGUAACAAGGUAGCCGUACCGGGAGGUGUGGCUGGAUCACCUCCUUUUAGGGAGACCUUUUGCCAGCAGCAACCCAAAAUAAAACGCUGUCUGUGCGAACAAUCCCAAGGUCGUGCCAGAAAAGAGUAAGCUUUCCAACUAACGAAGGGUUCGUGGGCUAUUAGCUCAGGUGGUUAGAGCGCACCCCUGAUAAGGGUGAGGUCCCUGGUUCGAGUCCAGGAUGGCCCACAUUAGCACCUUGAAAACUGCAUAGAAAAUAGAUAGAGAAACAUCAGAAAUUCUGAUAGGUGAAAAAUCCAGGUCAAGCUACAAAGAGCUAACGGUGGAUACCUAGGCACACAGAGG
rnacentral:sRNA from 1 species